UACAGAGGUCUCAAGCGUUGUUCGGAUUCAUUGGGCGUAAAGGGUGCGUAGGCGGCGCGGUAAGUCGGGUGUGAAAUCUCGGAGCUUAACUCCGAAACUGCAUUCGAUACUGCCGUGCUUGAGGACUGGAGAGGAGACUGGAAUUUACGGUGUAGCGGUGAAAUGCGUAGAUAUCGUAAGGAAGACCAGUGGCGAAGGCGGGUCUCGUGGACAGUUCCUGACGCUGAGACACGAAGGCCAGGGGAGCAAACGGG
rnacentral:rRNA from 1 species